rnacentral:rRNA from 1 species
UACGUAGGGUGCAAGCGUUAAUCGGAAUUACUGGGCGUAAAGCGUGCGCAGGCGGUUAUGCAAGACAGAUGUGAAAUCCCCGGGCUCAACCUGGGAAUUGCGAUGGAGACUGCAAGGCUAGAAUCUGGCAGAGGGGGGUAGAAUUCCACGUGUAGCAGUGAAAUGCGUAGAGAUGUGGAGGAACACCGAUGGCGAAGGCAGCCCCCUGGGUCAAGAUUGACGCUCAUGCACGAAAGCGUGGGGAGCAAACAGG